rnacentral:rRNA from 1 species
UCCGACUCAGAGAGUUUGAUCAUGGCUCAGAGCGAACGCUGGCGGCAGGCUUAACACGAUGCAAGUCGUACGCGCGUAGCAAUACGUGAGUGGCAGACGGGUGAGGAACACGUGGGAACAUACCCUUUGGUUCGGAAUAACUCAGGGAAACUUGAGCUAAUACCGGAUAAGUCGGAAACGAGAAAGAUUUAUCGCCGAAGGAGUGGCCGCGUCUGAUUAGCUAGUUGGUGAGGUAAUGGGCUCACCCAAGGCGACGAUCAGUAGCUGGUCUGAGAGGAUGAUCAGCCACACUGGGACUGAGACACGGCCCAGACUCCUACGGGAGGCAGCAGUGGGGAAUAUUGGACAAUGGGCGCAAGCCUGAUCCAGCCAUGCCGCGUGAGUGAUGAAGGCCUUAGGGUUGUAAAGCUCUUUUGUCCGGGAAGAUAAUGACUGUACCGGAAGAAUAAGCCCCGGCUAACUUCGUG